CCGUGUAGGUUGCUUAUGUCCCGUGCUAACUCUGGGCGCAGUGCUCAGGGAGAGGAGAAAAGGGUUCUUGCACGAUAACCCCCACCCCGACGGGGGACAAAAAGUAAUUUCAGUGACUGUGGGUACAAGUGCGUUCGUAUAUUUUUAUAAAAUGUAUAUCUAGGCCAGGUAUAAACGGCGCAGAAAUAAUUUUAAUAAUAUCAUUUAAACAUGAGUGAAGUGUGUCAGGUAGAAGGCGGUUGUGUGUAUGGAUAGCCUUGGUUGCUAUGGACAGCCCCACAGCUGCCACUGUCCUCACGAAACUGUGGCAAGUUACAGAGACAUAGCUUUGAGUUAAAAGAAGAGAACUGUGAGAUAGUGUUUGAGACUGCUCCAUGCUUGAGGAACCCCCGGCAGUUAGUAUGACCGUGUUGAAACUCAGCCACCACCACCAACAACUCUCUGCAGCUAAAGACAAAACCAACAGCGUCGGGAUGUCCACUGGUGGUGGAGCUGGAGGUGGUAUAUCCCCGGCUGCCCCUGCCAAGAUGGAUUCCUUAGUGCAGGUAGACUCUAAUGACGAAACAAACGCCAUGGCUACGGCGGGUGGCAUCGUCAAGGCCGGUGUUCAGCUGCCACCCCAACCGCAAGUCGCCAAUCACGAGCAGCAACAAACUACGAACUCUCGAACUAGCCACAUCAGUUUUAGUGUAGCGGCUCUGUUAGCUGACACACGGCCGACAUCUCGUCACAGGUCGUCCCCUGCCUUCCUUUCGUCACAAUCGCCACCGCUAGAAUCGUCUACCCUUUACCAGUCAGAACAACCCCUUACGUCUUCGGACGAAGAACUGAAUGACGACGAGUCCGAACAGGGAAGUGCUGUUGACGUCGAAGUUCUCAGGGACUCUAAUUCCCCUGUCAGCAUACCGACGCCUUUACAACCGGGUGGCAGGUUGAGUGGCAGUCCGGCGGAUGUGUUAUCGGCAAGGUUUAUGUUCGCGGGCGGUCAUGGCCCCGGUGGCGGCGUCGUGACUCCCGUGAGACCGACUCCAUUCUCUGCCCUCGCUGCGGCUGCGGCCGCGUAUUCGGCCGGCCUUCAACACCACCACCCCGCACCACAUCACCAGCCCACCUCGUGGGCCGCGUCCACCCUCGUGGGACACUACCCUGGUGCCAUGUUUCCUGGACCGGCGGCAGCAGCUGCGGCCUUUGCGGCUGCAGGGCUGGCAGGUUCCCCAGAUUCGGGAGGUGGCGACCCCCCUAAACUGAAAUGUAAUCUGAGGAAACACAAACCGAACCGGAAGCCGCGGACACCUUUUACAACUCAGCAGCUGCUGUCUCUGGAGAAGAAGUUCCGGGAGAAGCAAUACCUGAGCAUCGCAGAGCGGGCCGAGUUCUCUUCCUCGCUGCACCUCACUGAGACACAGGUGAAGAUCUGGUUCCAGAAUAGACGCGCCAAGGCGAAACGACUGCAAGAAGCCGAAAUUGAGAAGUUGAAAAUGGCAGCUGUAGCAGCCGCACGGCCGCCGCACCUGUACGGCCCUGGUCCCCACCACCCCGCACUGCAACAGUACUUCCACCCCCACCACGACCCCACUCUACUCGUCGGUCCGGCUCACCACCUUACAGCCGCCGCUCUUCUCGGUAGACACCAUAUGCCACCCUUAAUCCCGCCACCUCCGUCAGGGUUAUGCCACCCCCAGGGAGGAGGGAUGGGUUCGCCCGUGGCCACGGCUGGUUCAACUGGACGGGCAGGUUCUCCUUCUCCUUCUGCCAUCGGACUUUCCUAACAAGCGCACGCACGAACGGGAGGUCUGCGCUUUCUGUUUUCAAGACCCUGCACCACGUUCUCCUCGAGUACUGCAAAUAAAUAAAAACAAUAUUCUUUUUUCGGUUGUUGUCCUGUGCACGUGGUUCUGUGAUCAAUUUGACUCUCUGGAAUUCUAAGCAUGUUCAUGACAAUGACAUAACUAGGAGUUCAAAGAAUUUCCAAAUUUUGGAGUGACAUUUUCUCUCCGAACCACCAACCGACCAGGCAGCAGAGCAACUGUGGAAAGAUGGACACACGUAGAGGUGCACAGGGGACAGUAGAAUGGAGGUUGGACACGGAGGAACAAAACAAAGGAAUACCAGUCAGCAGUUAUUUGAUGUAGAGGCAGCGAGCUUGGACUAUGACAACAGCUGCUAGGAGAACCGAAGCCAAUUCGUUAGAUUGGAAGGCGAGAAAGGAUGACUUACACGAUCUAAUUUGCAUUAAAUAUUUUAGGAUACAUUCCACAGAAAUAAGUUAUAUAACACGUACUGAAUUACUUUGUGUUGCA